UACGAAGGGGGCGAGCGUUGUUCGGAUUUACUGGGCGUAAAGGGCGCGCAGGCGGCGAGUUUUGUCAGGCGUGAAAGCCCCGGGCUCAACCUGGGAAUUGCGCUUGAAACGGGCUUGCUAGAGAUCGGGAGAGGAGCGUGGAAUUCCCAGUGUAGAGGUGAAAUUCGUAGAUAUUGGGAAGAACACCGGUGGCGAAGGCGGCGCUCUGGACCGAUACUGACGCUGAGGCGCGAAAGCGUGGGGAG
rnacentral:rRNA from 1 species